rnacentral:lncRNA from 10 species
CCGGGAGAUGGAGGUUGCAGUGAGCCGAGAUUGCGCCACUGCACUCCAGCCUGGGCAACAGAGCAAGACUCCGUCUCAAAAAUAAACACAGGCCCUCGCAGCAUUUCCAUCACACAGUAUUAUUCUGAUCACAGUCAUUCAUAAUCUUAGUCACCAUCUCAAGGACACACAAAGAAAAUCAGUCACACUUGAAAUCCCACCGUCACACGCUCACCCUCUCACAGUAUCUCACAACCCACGUAGGAAGUCUCAAACGGCAACCAUCUCUGUCAGUCACACACUCCAUGGUUAGUGUUACACUCAACCUAUCAGAAUCACACACUCCAACCCGUCAGAUACACACACCCAAGAGGUGUCAGACACAGAACCGCCUAUCAGACACAUAAACGGGUCCGCCCCACACCCUCCCAGGCCACUGGUCCUACAUUUUAUCUGUUAUCUGUCCGCCCGCUCCACACUUCGUCCGCCCCACACCCGGUCAAUCAGUCCAUCCGACACACACUCCGUCAGUCCGACACAUUCUCCGUCGGUCCGUCCGGCACUCAGUGUGUCAUUCCGCACCACAUUCGGUCCGUGAGUCUGUCCACACCGGGUCCGUCAGUCCGUGCACACACGGUCCGUCCACGCCUGGUCCGUCAGUCCGUCACAUCCUCUGCGCGUGUGUCCGGCACUCGCAGUCCGUCUACUCACGUCCCCUAGUCAGCCUCUCACUCUCUACCCGCUGGGCGGUACCCCGCAUCUCGCUCUGGCCGCCCCAGAGGUUCGCGGCUUCUGGACCUGCUGUGCCCCUCUCCAGCCUGGAUCAGGACGGAGAACACCCCCGAAACCCACCUCACCAGCACAGCCGGCGGACCCUUCCGGAGGUGGCCGCAGAGACUAGCCAACUUGCGCGCCCGCCGACCCGGACCACAGCUCCCAGCACACCUCAAGGGCCCACGCCCGCCAGGACUACAAUUCCCGGCGUCCUCCGGAAGCUCAAGUGUACCCAGGCGCGGUGCCUGCUGGGAAUUGUAGUUGACGUUGGUCAGCACGGAGGCCACAGGAUCCCAGCCCGGCCUUUGUGGGACUGAGGUGGCGCUGAGUGGGAGAGCAGCAGGCGAUGCGCGAAAGGCGGGACUUGGAGAUAAAUACUGAGCACCCACAACAGGCAGCCAGCACCACUGCAGAUUGGAUACUGCAAUGAUGAUAAGCAUGGCCUGCCUUUAUGGAGGUUCUGGAUGUUCCUGUGGAUAACCUCAAGGAGCACGGGACCUGGGACAUGACUGCCCCCAGCAUUCCUUCUGGCGGCAGACAGAGUUUGUCAGUUCGCCAACAUCCUGC